rnacentral:rRNA from 1 species
AUUGAACGCUGGCGGCAUGCUUUACACAUGCAAGUCGAACGGUAACAGGCCUUCGGGUUCUGCCGAGUGGCGGACGGGUGAGUAAUGCAUCGGAACGUGCCCAGAGGUGGGUGUUAACGCAGCGAAAGCUGUGCAAAUACCGCAUGUGAUCUGAGGAUGAAAGCGGGGGACCAGGCAGCAAUGUUUGGCCUCGCGCCUUUGGAGCGGCCGAUGUCAGAUUAGGUAGUUGGUGGGGUAAAGGCCCACCAAGGCGACGAUCCGUAGCUGGUCUGAGAGGACGAUCAGCCACACUGGGACUGAGACACGGCCCAGACUCCUACGGGAGGCAGCAGUGGGGAAUUUUGGACAAUGGGCGCAAGCCUGAUCCAGCAAUGCCGCGUGCGGGAAGAAGGCCUUCGGGUUGUAAACCGCUUUUGUACGGAAAGAAAAGGCUCUGGCUAAUACCUGGGGGUGAUGACGGUACCGUAAGAAUAAGCACCGGCUAACUACGUG